rnacentral:ribozyme from 1 species
UCUUUUUUUUUUUUAUUUUUUUUGUUUUUUUACUAUAUUUGUUUGUGUAUUUUUAAUG